CCAUGCUAGUUGUACGGGUUUAGACCCGUAGCAAAUAGCUCCGUAACACGUGGUCAAACUACCCUCUGGACCGGGAUACCCUCGGGAAACUGAGGUCAAUCCCGGAUACUGCUUUCAUGUUGGAACACAGAAAGUCGGAAACGGUCCGCCGCCGGAGGACGUGACUGCGGCCGAUUAGGUAGACGGUGGGGUAACGGCCCACCGUGCCGAUAAUCGGUACGGGUUGUGAGAGCAAGAACCCGGAGACGGUAUCUGAGACAAGAUACCGGGCCCUACGGGGCGCAGCAGGCGCGAAACCUUUACACUGCACGCCAGUGCGAUAAGGGGACCCCGAGUGCGAGGGCAUACAGUCCUCGCUUUUCGUGACCGUAAGAAGGUCUCAGAAUAAGAGCUGGGCAAGACCGGUGCCAGCCGCCGCGGUAAUACCGGCAGCUCGAGUGAUAGCCACUAUUAUUGGGCCUAAAGCGUCCGUAGCCGGCCGAACAGGUCCGUCGGGAAAUCCACCCGCUCAACGGGUGGACGUCCGGCGGAAACCAGUCGGCUUGGGGCCGGGAGACCAGAGAGGUACGUCCGGGGUAGGAGUGAAAUCCUGUAAUCCUGGACGGACCACCGGUAGCGAAAGCGUCUCUGGAGAACGGACCCGACGGUGAGGGACGAAAGCUUGGGUCUCGAACCGGAUUAGAUACCCGGGUAGUCCAAGCUGUAAACGAUGCUCGCUAGGUGUGGCGUUGGCUACGAGCCAGCGCUGUGCCGUAGGGAAGCCGAGAAGCGAGCCGCCUGGGAAGUACGUCCGCAAGGAUGAAACUUAAAGGAAUUGGCGGGGGAGCACUACAACCGGAGGAGCCUGCGGUUUAAUUGGACUCAACGCCGGACAUCUCACCGGCACCGACAGUGUGCA
rnacentral:rRNA from 1 species